UGAGGAAGGUCCCCCACAUUGGAACUGAGACACGGUCCAAACUCCUACGGGAGGCAGCAGUGAGGAAUAUUGGUCAAUGGGCGAGAGCCUGAACCAGCCAAGUAGCGUGCAGGAAGACGGCCCUAUGGGUUGUAAACUGCUUUUAUAAGGGAAUAAAGUGAGUCUCGUGAGACUUUUUGCAUGUACCUUAUGAAUAAGGACCGGCUAAUUCCGUGCCAGCAGCCGCGGUAAUACGGAAGGUCCGGGCGUUAUCCGGAUUUAUUGGGUUUAAAGGGAGCGUAGGCCGGAGAUUAAGCGUGUUGUGAAAUGUAGACGCUCAACGUCUGCACUGCAGCGCGAACUGGUUUCCUUGAGUACGCACAAAGUGGGCGGAAUUCGUGGUGUAGCGGUGAAAUGCUUAGAUAUCACGAAGAACUCCGAUUGCGAAGGCAGCUCACUGGAGCGCAACUGACGCUGAAGCUCGAAAGUGCGGGUAUCGAACAGGAUUAGAUACCCUGGUAGUCCGCACGGUAAACGAUGGAUGCCCGCUGUUGGUCUGAACAGGUCAGCGGCCAAGCGAAAGCAUUAAGCAUCCCACCUGGGGAGUACGCCGGCAACGGUGAAACUCAAAGGAAUUGACGGGGGCCCGCACAAGCGGAGGAACAUGUGGUUUAAUUCGAUGAUACGCAAGGAACCUUACCCGGGCUUGAAUUGCAGAGGAAGGAUUUGGAGACAAUGACGCCCUUCGGGGUCUCUGUGAAGGUGCUGCAUGGUUGUCGUCAGCUCGUGCCGUGAGGUGUCGGCUUAAGUGCCAUAACGAGCGCAACCCCUCUCCUUAGUUGCCAUCAGGUUAAGCUGGGCACUCUGGGGACACUGCCACCGUAAGGUGUGAGGAAGGUGGGGAUGACGUCAAAUCAGCACGGCCCUUACGUCCGGGGCUACACACGUGUUACAAUGGCAGGUACAGAGAGACGGUUGUACGUAAGUACGAUCAAAUCCUUAAAGCCUGUCUCAGUUCGGACUGGGGUCUGCAACCCGACCCCACGAAGCUGGAUUCGCUAGUAAUCGCGCAUCAGCCAUGGCGCGGUGAAUACGUUCCCGGGCCUUGUACACACCGCCCGUCAAGCCAUGAAAGCCGGGGGCGCCUAAAGUCCGUGACCGUAAGGAGCGGCCUAGGGCGAAACUGGUAAUUGGGGCUAAGUCGUAACAAGGUAGCCGUACCGGAAGGUGCGGCUG
rnacentral:rRNA from 1 species